rnacentral:rRNA from 1 species
CCUACGGGUGGCUGCAGUGAGGAAUAUUGGUCAAUGGGCGCGAGCCUGAACCAGCCAAGUCGCGUGAGGGAUGACGGUCCUACGGAUUGUAAACCUCUUUUGCCGGGGAGCAAGCGUUCGUUCGUGAACGCACGUCGAGAGUACCCGGAGAAAAAGCAUCGGCUACCUCCGUGCAAGCAGCCGCGGUAAUACGGAGGAUGCGAGCGUAAUCCGGAUUUAUUGGGUUAAAAGGGUGCGUAGGCGGGAUGCCAAGUCAGCGGGAAAAAUGCGGGGCCAAACGCGGUCGAGCCGUUGAAACUGGCAGUCUUGAGUGGGGGAGAGGGAUGCAGAAUGCGUGGUGUAGCGGUGAAAUGCAUAGAUAUCACGCAGAACUCCGAUUGCGAAGGCAGCCUACCGG